rnacentral:rRNA from 1 species
UACGGAGGAUCCGAGCGUUAUCCGGAUUUAUUGGGUUUAAAGGGUGCGUAGGUGGAUUGGUAAGUCAGUGGUGAAAGUUUGCAGCUUAACUGUAAAAUUGCCGUUGAAACUGCCGGUCUUGAGUGCAAAUGAGGUAGGCGGAAUGCGUCGUGUAGCGGUGAAAUGCUUAGAUAUGACGCAGAACUCCGAUUGCGAAGGCAGCUUACUGGGAUGCAACUGACGCUGAGGCACGAAAGCGUGGGUAUCAAGCAGGAUUAGAUA